rfam:Oryza sativa (indica cultivar-group) chromosome 8, whole genome shotgun sequence.
GAGCAUGAUGAGUAUGAUUUUGUCGCCCCAGUCUUAGGAUCCGAAUUACGGAUCUGUGCUGAUUGACAUGUUAUCAAAUCUGACUC